rnacentral:rRNA from 1 species
GAUGAACGCUAGCUACAGGCUUAACACAUGCAAGUCGAGGGGAAACGACAUCGAAAGCUUGCUUUUGAUGGGCGUCGACCGGCGCACGGGUGAGUAACGCGUAUCCAACCUGCCCACCACUUGGGGAUAACCUUGCGAAAGUAAGACUAAUACCCAAUGAAGUUCUUUGCAGACAUCUAAAGAGAACGAAAGAUUUAUCGGCAACGGAUGGGGAUGCGUCUGAUUAGGUUGUUGGCGGGGCAACGGCCCACCAAGCCUACGAUCAGUAGGGGUUCUGAGAGGAAGGUCCCCCCACAUUGGAACUGAGACACGGUCCAAACCCCUACGGGAGGCAGCAGUGAGGAAUAUUGGUCAAUGGACGGAAGUCUGAACCAGCCAAGUAGCGUGCAGGAUGACGGCCCUAUGGGUUGUAAACUGCUUUUAUGUGGGAAUAAAGUCAGGGACGUGUCCCUGUUUGCAUGUACCACAGGAAUAAGGACCGGCUAAUUCCGUG